rnacentral:lncRNA from 1 species
GCCGGGGAAAUACAUACAAUACAUAAAAAGAAAACAAGCAGCAUUAAGUAACAAUAUUUUAUCUCAUUGACUAUGCAUAUUACAUGUACAUACACAAAAAGUGAAACAGGCGAAAAUUCUGCGCAAUGUCUUAUAUACGGAAUUAGCUGACAAUUUAGCCAUGUUGACUGAAUUGCCGAUCUUAGUUUGUUGAUGAUUUUUGUCGAGCCUGCAACUUUUGUUGCCGAAAGCAUGACAUAGGGAUAGUGAUCCGGCGGCUACGGCGGCGGCGGCGUUAGCUAACUUCCUUAAAGCUUUAUAUUUAAGAAAGUGAAAGACCUGGAUGCUUCAUACAUUGUAUAUGGAUGCCUCAUGUUACGAAGUUUCUGUCAGUCACAUGUCCAAUGUCCUUGACCUCAUUUUCAUGGUUCAGUGACUACUUGAAAAAAAAGUUCAGAUUUUUUGUAAUGUUAAAUUCUCUCUAAUUAUAAGUAAUAGGAUAACUAUAUUUGGUAUGUGCGUAUCUUGCAAGGUCCUCAUGCAUUUCAGACAGUUUUCACUUGACCUCGACCUCAUUUUAAUGGAUCAGUGAAUAAGGUUAAGUUUUGGUGGGCAAGUCCAUAUAUCAGAUACUAUAAGCAAUAGGUUUAGUAUAUUCGGUGUACAUGUCCAACUUGCAGAUGUUAUCUGACCUUGACCUCAUUUUCAUGGUUCAGUGGUUAUAUUUAAGUUGAUGUGUUUUGGUCUAUUUUUCUUAUACUGUAUGCAAUAGGUCUACUAUAUUUGGUGUAUAGAAUGAUUGAAAGGUGUACAUGUCUAACUGGCAGGUGUCAUCUGACCUUGACCUCAUUUUCAUGGUUCAGUUGUCAAAGUUAAGUUUUUGAGUUUUGUUCUUUUUUUCAAAUACUAAUUGCAAUAGGUCAGCUAUAUUUGGUGUAUGGAAAUAUUUUAUGAUCUACAUAUUAGUCGUACGGGUUUUAUUUGACCUUGACCUCAUUUUCACGGUUCUUUGCUCAGUGUUAAGUUUUUGUGUUUUGGUCUGUUUUUCUUAAACUAUAAGCAAUAGGUCAACUAUAUUUGUAUGGAAGAACUGUUAGCUAUACAUGCCUGUCUGGCAUGGUUCAUAUGACCUUGACCUCAUUUUCAUGGUUCAUUGGUCAAUGUUUAGUUUUCUUGGUUAAGUUUUUAUGAUAGUUGUAAUAAAGCUUUAUAUUUAGGACCAUUAACAUAAUAUCAAUGAUUAGUUAAGAAGGCGAGACAUUUCAGUGUGUGCACUCUUGUUUCUAUAUUUACCAAUCAAUUAAGAAUUUUACUCCAAAAUUGACGAAAAUCGACAUUCAAGAGCUUUAAC